rnacentral:misc_RNA from 1 species
UGCGGAAGGAUCUUAUUGAAAUAAACCUGAUGAGUUGCUGCUGGCUCUCUAGGGAGCAUGUGCACACUUGUCAUCUUUAUAUCUCCACCUGUGCACCUUUUGUAGACCUGGAUAUCUCUCUGAGUGCUUAGCACUUCAGGUUUGAGGAUUGACUUUAUUGUUCUCUCUUUAUAUUUCCAGGCCUACGUUUCUUCAUAUACCCCUUUGUAUGUUAUAGAAUGUAGUAAGUAGGCCUUUGUGCCUAUAAACCUAUACAACUUUCAGCAACGGAUCUCUUGGCUCUCGCAUCGAUGAAGAACGCAGCGAAAUGCGUUAAGUAAUGUGAAUUGCAGAAUUCAGUGAAUCAUCGAAUCUUUGAACGCACCUUGCGCUCCUUGGUAUUCCGAGGAGCAUGCCUGUUUGAGUGUCAUUAAUAUAUCAAUAUCUUCAACUUUGUCGGAGUGUUGGAUGUGGGGGUUUA